rnacentral:rRNA from 1 species
GAUGAACGCUGGCGGCGUGCCUAAUACAUGCCAGUCGAGCGAACGGACGAGAAGCUUGCUUCUCUGAUGUUAGCGGCGGACGGGUGAGUAACACGUGGAUAACCUACCUAUAAGACUGGGAUAGCUUCGGGAAACCGGAGCUAAUACCGGAUGAUAUUUUGAACCGCAUGGUUCAAAAGUGAAAGACGGUCUUGCUGUCACUUAUAGAUGGAUCCGCGCUGCAUUAGCUAGUUGGUAAGGUAACGGCUUACCAAGGCAACGAUGCAUAGCCGACCUGAGAGGGUGAUCGGCCACACUGGAACUGAGACACGGUCCAGACUCCUACGGGAGGCAGCAGUAGGGAAUCUUCCGCAAUGGGCGAAAGCCUGACGGAGCAACGCCGCGUGAGUGAUGAAGGUCUUCGGAUCGUAAAACUCUGUUAUUAGGGAAGAACAUAUGUGUAAGUAACUGUGCACAUCUUGACGGUACCUAAUCAGAAAGCCACGGCUAACUACGUG